GUGGGUGCAUACAAGUACAUCCGGGAGCUAUGGAGAAAGAAACUGUCUGAUGUCAUGCACUUUCUUCUGAGGGUCCGCUGCUCAGCUGAGUACCACCAGCUGUCUGCUUUCCACAGGGCUCCCCACCCCACCUGCCCUGAUAAAAGCACGCCGACUGGGCUACAAGGCCAAGCAAGAUUGUAGGAUUCGUGUUCGCCGUGGUGGCUGAAAACGUCCAGUUCCGAAGGGUGUAACUUACGGCAAGCCUGUCCAUCAUGGUGUUAACCAGCUAAACUUUGCUCGAAGCCUUCAGUCCUUUGUAGAGGAGCGAGCUGGACGCCACUUUGGGGCUCUAAGAAUCCUCAAUUCUUACUGGGCUGGUGAAGGUUCCACAUACAAAUUUUUUGAGGUUAUCCUCAUCGAUCCAUUCCAUAAAGCUAUGAGAAGAAAUCCUGACACCCGACGGAUCACCAAAAACCAGUCCACAAGCACAGGGAGAUGCGCAGGCUGACAUCUGCAGGCUGAAAGAGCCGGGGCCUUGGAAGGGCCAUAAGCUCCACCACACUACUGGUGGUUUCGCUGGGCAGCUACUCCCUAGCUCCGCCGUUACCGC
rnacentral:lncRNA from 1 species